CCUACGGGUGGCAGCAGUAGGGAAUCUUUCACACUGGGCGAAAGCCUGAUGGAGCAACGCCGCGUGCAGGAUGAAGGCCUUCGGGUUGUAAACUGCUUUUAUAAGCGAGAAAUAUGAUGGUAACUUAUGAAUAAGGAUCGGCUAACUACGUGCCAGCAGCCGCUGUCAUACGUAGGAUCCGAGCAUUAUCCGGAGUGACUGGGUGUAAAGAGUUGCGUAGGUGGCAUAAUAAGUAGCUAGUGAAAUCUGGUGGCUCAACCAUUCAGACUAUUAGCUAAACUGUUAAGCUAGAGACCGUUAGGGGUAACUGGAAUUUCUAGUGUAGGAGUGAAAUGCGUAGAUAUUAGGAGGAACACCAAUAGCGUAGGCAGGUUACUGGGACGGUUCUGACACUAAGGCACGAAAGCGUAGGGAGCAAACGGGAUUAGAUACCCGGGUAGUC
rnacentral:rRNA from 1 species